rnacentral:rRNA from 1 species
GACGAACGCUGGCGGCGUGCUUAACACAUGCCAGUCGAACGAUGAAGAAGAGAAACGCGAACUUCGGUUCAAAUUUCACUUCGGAUUAGUGGCAGACGGGUGAGUAACGCGUGAGCAACCUACCUCUUACAAAGGGAUAGCCUCGGGAAACCGUGAUUAAUACCAUAUGACACAUUCAUAAGGCAUCUUAAGAAUGUUAAAGCUACGGCGGUAAGAGAUGGGCUCGCGUCCCAUUAGCUAGUUGGUGAGGUAACGGCCCACCAAGGCGACGAUGGGUAACCGGGCUGAGAGGGUGAACGGUCACAUUGGAACUGAGACACGGUCCAAACUCCUACGGGAGGCAGCAGUGGGGAAUAUUGCACAAUGGAGGGAACUCUGAUGCAGCGACGCCGCGUGAGCGAUGAAGGAAUUCGUGUCGUAAAGCUCUGUUCUAUGGGAAGAAAAGGACUGUACCAUAGGAGAAAGCCCCGGCUAAAUACGUG